rnacentral:misc_RNA from 1 species
GAUGAAGAACGUAGCGAAAUGCGACAAGUAAUGUGAAUUGCAGAACUCAGUGAAUCAUCGAAUCUUUGAACGCACAUUGCGCCCGCCAGUAUUCUGGCGGGCAUGCCUGUCCGAGCGUCAUUUCAACCCUCGAACCCCUCCGGGGGUACGGCGUUGGGGAUCGGCCCUUUACGGGGCCGGCCCCGAAAUACAGUGGCGGUCUCGACGCAGCCUCUCCUGCGCAGUAGUUUGCACACUCGCAUCGGGAGCGCGGCGCGUCCACGUCCGUAAAACACCCAACUUCUGAAAUGUUGACCUCGGAUCAGGUAGGAAUACCCGCUGAACUUAAGCAUAUCAAUAAGCGGAGGA